UGAGGAACAUGACCUUCGGCGGGGGAUAGCCGGCCCAACGGCCGGGUAAUACCGCGUACGACCACUCGGGGACAUCCCCAGGUGGUGAAAGCAGCAAUGCGCCGAUGGAGUGCCUCGCGGCCUAUCAGCUAGUUGGUGGGGUAAUGGCUCACCAAGGCGACGACGGGUAGCUGGUCUGAGAGGAUGGCCAGCCACAUUGGAACUGAGACACGGCCCAGACUCCUACGGGAGCAG
rnacentral:rRNA from 1 species